AAUGAACGCUGGCGGCGGGCCUAAUACAUGCAAGUCGAGCGGACAGACGGGGAGCUCGCGCCCCUACCGGUAGCGGGUGACGGGCGGGUAAGACAUGGAUAACCAUCCACUAAGACUGGGGUAACUACGGGAGGAAGGAGACGCUAAUAGCUCAUAUAAUGUACCGCAGGGUUCAAUAGUGCAUGACGGCUUUGCCGAUACAAUUAGCCGGAUCCGGGUCGGAUUAGCUAGUUGGUAAGGUAACGGCACACCAAGGCGACGAUGCGUAGCCGGCCUGAGAGGGUGAUCGGCCACACUGGAACUGAGACACGGUCCAGACUCCUACGGGAGGCAGCAGUGGGGAAUCUUCCACAAUGGGCGCAAGCCUGACGCAGCCACACCGCGUGAGUGAUGAAGGCCUUCGGAUCGUAAAGCUCUUUUAUUAGGGAAGAACAGCAGUAGAAUAAACUCUCCACGUCUUGACGGUACCUAAACAGAAAGCCACGGCUAACUACGUG
rnacentral:rRNA from 1 species